rnacentral:rRNA from 1 species
GAGCCUGCGUUCCAUUAGCUUGNUNNCGGGGGUAACGGCCCACCAAGGCAACGAUGGGUAGCCGAUUUGAGAGGAUGAUCGGCCACACUGGAACUGAAACACGGUCCAGACUCCUACGGGAGGCAGCAGUGGGGAAUAUUGCGCAAUGGGCGAAAGCCUGACNCAACNACNCCNCNUGAGGGAUGAAGGUUUUCCGAUCCUAAACCUCCUGUCANAAAGGAANAAACUACCUUGUGCUAAUCAGCAGUGUACUGACGGUACCUUUCAANGAAGCACCGGCUAACUCCGUGCCAGCAGCCGCGGUAAUACGGAGGGUGCAAGCGUUAAUCGGAAUUACUGGGCGUAAAGCGCACGUAGGCUGUAGUGUAAGUCAGGGGUGAAAUCCCACGGCUCAACCGUGGAACUGCCUUUGAUACUGCACAACUUGAAUCCGGGAGAGGGUGGCGGAAUUCCAGGUGUAGGAGUGAAAUCCGUAGAUAUCUGGAGGAACAUCAGUGGCG